AAAAAUUAGAAAAAAUAAAAAAAAUCUGUUCUUAUCAGUUUAAUAUCUGAUAUGUCCCCUAUCUGGGGACCAUAUAUUAAAUUGAUUUUUGGAACAGGGAGAUGGAAUAGGGGCUCACUCCGUCCACUCCACGCACCGACCUGGUAUUGCAGUACCUCCAGGAACGGUCCACCCCGU
rnacentral:snRNA from 13 species